AUUCAGUAUCAAAGAAAUUCAGAUUUGGAUUUAGUUAUAAAUACAACAAAAAGCAGCAAAUAGGAUUCAAUAAGAGUGCAAAUAACCAAGAAGAAAACU